CAGCAGCCACGGUAAUACGAAGGGGGCUAGCGUUGCUCGGAAUUACUGGGCGUAAAGGGAGCGUAGGCGGGUCGUUUAGUCAGAGGUGAAAUCCCGGGGCUCAACCUCGGAACUGCCUUUGAUACUGGCGACCUUGAGUAUGGGAGAGGUAAGUGGAACUCCGAGUGUAGAGGUGAAAUUCGUAGAUAUUCGGAAGAACACCAGUGGCGAAGGCGACUUACUGGCCCAUUACUGACGCUGAGGCUCGAAAGCGUGGGGAGCAAACAGGAUUAGAUACCCCUGUAGUCCCUGUCUCUUAUAC
rnacentral:rRNA from 1 species